AUUGAACGCUGGCGGCAGGCCUAACACAUGCCAGUCGAGCGGAUGAAGGGAGCUUGCUCCUGGAUUCAGCGGCGGACGGGUGAGUAAUGCCUAGGAAUCUGCCUGGUAGUGGGGGAUAACGUCCGAAAACGAGCGCUAAUACCGCAUACGUCCUGAGGGAGAAAGUGGGGGAGCUUCGGACCUCACGCUAUCAGAUGAGCCUAGGUCGGAUUAGCUAGUUGGUGGGGUAAAGGCCUACCAAGGCGACGAUCCGUAACUGGUCUGAGAGGAUGAUCAGUCACACUGGAACUGAGACACGGUCCAGACUCCUACGGGAGGCAGCAGUGGGGAAUAUUGGACAAUGGGCGCAAGCCUGAUCCAGCCAUGCCGCGUGUGUGAAGAAGGUCUUCGGAUUGUAAAGCACUUUAAGUUGGGAGGAAGGGCAGUAAGUUAAUACCUUGCUGUUUUGACGGUACCAAAAGAAUAAGCACCGGCUAACUUCGUG
rnacentral:rRNA from 1 species